rnacentral:rRNA from 1 species
UACGAAGGGUGCAAGCGUUAAUCGGAAUUACUGGGCGUAAAGGGUGCGUAGGCGGGUUGGUAAGUCCGUGGUGAAAUCUCCGAGCUUAACUCGGAAACUGCCGUGGAUACUAUCAAUCUUGAAUAUCGUGGAGGUAAGCGGAAUAUGUCAUGUAGCGGUGAAAUGCUUAGAGAUGACAUAGAACACCAAUUGCGUAGGCAGCUUACUACACGAUCAUUGACGCUGAGGCACGAAAGCGUGGGGAGCAAACAGG